rnacentral:rRNA from 1 species
ACGAACGCUGGCGGCGUGCCUCAUACAUGCAAGUCGUACGGUAUUUCUGGCCGCAAGGUUAGAGAUGCCGUGGCAGACGGGUGCGUAACACGUGGGUAAUCUUCCUUUAUGUUUGGCAUAAACUCUCGAAAGGGAGUCUAAUUCCGAAUAACAACGCCGGGUGGCAUCACUUGGCGUUCAAAGGUGGCCUCUGCUUGCAAGCUACCACAUAAUGGUGAGCCCGGCCCGAUUAGUUAGUUGGCGGGAUAAAAGCCCACCAAGACGUCGAUCGGUAGCCGGCCUGAGAGGUGUCCGGCCACACUGGGACUGAGAUACGGCCCAGACUCCUACGGGAGGCAGCAGUAGGGAAUAUUGCGCAAUGGCCGCAAGGCUGACGCAGCAACGCCGCGUGGGGGAUGAAGGUUUUCGGAUCGUAAACCCCUGUCGAGAGAGACGAAAGGCCAAUGGGUGAACGAAUCCAUC